UACGUAGGCAGCAAGCGUUGUUCGGAUUCACUGGGCGUAAAGGGUGCGUAGGUGGUGGGGUAAGUCGGAUGUGAAAUCUCCGAGCUCAACUCGGAAAUUGCAUUGGAAACUACCCUGCUUGAGGGUCGGAGGGGGGACUGGAAUUCUCGGUGUAGCAGUGAAAUGCGUAGAUAUCGAGAGGAACACCAGUGGCGAAGGCGAGUCCCUGGACGACUCCUGACACUGAGGCACGAAAGCUAGGGGAGCAAACAGG
rnacentral:rRNA from 1 species